UGCUGGCACUGGAUCCAGCGGGAGGAGAUCCCUGAUGCAUUUGAUUCUUGUGGGAUUCCCACACAUCUUGCAGGAUCAACAGGUUAUCGGCACCUUCUCGGUCCCUCUGCACCCGUGACCCAGGUCAGCUCAAUCGCCUUUCUUCAUAGCUGAUUACUCUGUUGGAUGUGGAGGUCUUCCCAUGUUCCAUCAGAUGGCUUGCCUGGAUGAUGCAUCCACGUUUUAAUGUGCUUUAUGUGGUAUUGGCUGUGAGACAAAGUUGGAGGUUGAUCUGAUCUAUAAUUCAGUGUGAGUUCAUUCAUAGAUUUGGGCUUUCUGAAUGUGGAUGCUUUUUCUUCUUCUGUUCGGAUGUGGAAUUCUGUAGACGUGAUCAUGCCAUGAGUGACCAUUGGACGAUGUCUCCAUGUUUUACUGCGUUUUAUGUGGUGUUUGCUUUGAGAUAAGGGUUGAUGUCAAUCUGAUGUGUACCUAUUCUUUGUUAAUACAAUCAUAGGUUUGGUUCCUCUGGUGGUGGAGGAUUUUUUUGUUCUAUUCGGAUGUGGGUUUCCGUAGACAUGAUCACAUGAUAAUGCCAUGAGUGACUAUAGAUCACUACCAAGAAGAGGCUCUAAUCUUCCCUUCUGUUCUUCACUAAUCUUUUCUUCUCUAAUUAGCUUCACUGAUAUGUUGCUUUGCUGUAAGUUUAUGUCUACUUAAUUAUAAAUCUUAAGCAAAGUGAAAUAUGGUGGUUAAGGAGUAGUGUUUGACUGUAUGUACUUCUUUCCCUUAUUGUAUGACCUGUGAGUGAGGUCAAGCAGCAAGAACUGGGCAGUUACUUAGCGUACCAUGUCCCAAUUUCCCUAAUUUAUCUGGGUCUUUUUAACAUAUUCUCCAAGUGGUGAUUAAUGUGCACAAAAAAUCUACAUUCAAAUACUUUCUUUUUCAGCAUACGUCUGCCAAAAGAAAAUGGUUCAACAACAUUUUAAAUGUACCAUUUGAAUUUGUAGUCAAUUAAAGAAGUAAAAAGAGGAUUUUGUUAGUUUUGCUUUACACAGGGAAAUGUCGAGAAGCAUACUGUCCUAUUUUUAGAGUCAGUGAAUAAAUGGAGUACUUGUCCACAAAAAAAAAUGAAUACAUAGGACUCUGUUAUAUUCUUAAUCAUAUUCUGUCUUUUCUCAGGAGCACGACGCAAAUCGAAAGACUUUUCUGUACCAGGCCAAACCAACUACUUGCAUAUUGAAGAAACUUCCAUGCUGUUUUACAUGCGACGUGGGUUCUAACAACUGAUCUAGCGUAUAUGUUAUCAUAGCAGAAUAAGAGCUAUGAUUCCAUCACCGUUAUCUCAGUUUGAUCAAGAAACUAAAACUACCCCACACCAUCCACUCAUUAGUCAUGAAACUCGUUAUUUUAUCAGACAUUAGUCAUGAAAGUUGCAGUCUUUCAUUUUUAUCAUACAAAGCGCACUGAUUGGUUCUCACGGAAUAGCGAUGCCUUUCAGUUGUUCUUGUCAGUACAUCCGAGUAAGGAUAACUACACACUUCUAAAUUUGUCAGUACAUCCAAUUUCAUCUUGCUGGUCGCUUUGGUAAUAACUAAAAACUUCUAAAUUUGUCAUCUUUUUGGUCUGCAUAGCUGAUUUCCCCUGAGGAUUGUAGUAACGUUUAAACAAGUAUUUACACUUCUAAACAAGUAUGGAAAAAGGCGACUUGCUUGAACUGAAUCAGCCAUAAACCUCCCUUAAAUAUGUACAUGUCUAAAAAACCUUUAGGUCUGCCUCCUUGUAGAAAUACACAAGUAUAUUUGUAACACUUAGAUGCUUGCCUAUGUAAGCUUGCAUCACAGACCAGCAAGGAGGAGGACGAAGCCCGGGUUCAGCCCUGUUGGAGUUGGCAUCUGCUCACAGCAAGCUGCAGAUGAUGUCCGUAUUUUGUUUCUUUUCUCCUGUAGCAAACACAAGCAGGUGCUGAGAUAAGGCUGAAUUAUAUUCAGAUUCGUAGCUGCUUGGUAGUAUAUUUUAGCACUAAGUUUCUUUCAAAUUCUGGGCAUAAUAUGUGCGGAAUUUCAAUGUACUCCUAAAACAACAGUUGUAGCUCUUGUUCUUAUGUUUCCAAUGGUGCUGGUUUCACUGAAAUUUGAUUGGUAGUUUAGGAGUUAAGCCAGAAAAGGUGCUACUGUUUAGUAAUAGCGAGUCUGAGAAGAUCAAUUUACCUAUGUUCAAGCAAGUUAGAGACAGUCUUAGUCCCAAUCACCUUAAAUAAAGUUGUAGGGAAUUCUCUGUAGGUAUCUUAGAAUAGUUUAUUUGCUGAGAUCGGUUAAGCGGUUUAAAAGCUAUGAACAGAACAAUGCGUGACUUAGUAACUCAGUCGAAGUUUCAGCUAAACUUAGAACUGGUUAUUUAGGUUUUUUGCUUCAGGGAAAUAUUAAUGUAUUCAUGAAAUAGAUAUUUAACCUUUUUUGUAUGUGAGUUGAUAUAACUUUUAUGUGCUUUAGUAGGCGAUAGCAAGGCAGUCAGACAAUCUUAAUUUGGGGAAAUAAGAUAAAUAAAUGAAAAGACAGGUUAGCUGACGAUACAAUUGAAAGAGAAAGGGAUAUUGAUAUUUUUUCGAUGAUGUGAACUGCAAAAGGAUGCUCUUGGUGGCAGCAUCCUGGGCUUCUGAAACAUGCUCAGUUCAGCUGAAAGGAUGUAUUGCGAUUAUGCAGAGAGAUGGAAUUGUUUGAACUCCAGUGGCACCAAUUGACGGCAUACGAAGACACUGCCACAAGAGGAUCAACAUAUCUAAACAGUCUCAUUUAUAAAUAUGUAUUUGGAUUUAUCAUUGACGUUUGACAACUUGGUGCAGCAUCGGUGCUUCCAGGAUGAAGAAUGAAUGCAUGUCAUUCAGGGAUAACUGUGGGCAAUGAAAUGUUGAAGGGUCCGUCUCUCACCCCACUCCAUAUAGACGCUUAGUUCUUCAUGGCCAUUGUCUCUAAUGUUUUUGUUUGUAAUAUAGUUUGGCUUGGAAAUAUAAAACUCCAUGCCGCCUGUCACACAAUUUUUCGUCGUCCGGGCAAACCCCUUCUCCAUUAAUUUCUUGAUGUAUGGUUGUGAUGCAGUCUUCUAGACGAAGAUGGAUUUAGGCUGUGUGAUUCCACAGUAUGCAUUGCACUUCCUUUAAGCAUGAAUAUCUGAAUGUGCACGGUGUAUAUUGCUCAGUCAUGUUAUUUUUUCUGUUUAUAUUUCCAGGAUACAUAAAGUACAUGUAUUGCAUUAGAAUAUAACUUCUACUUCUGUACUAUUAUUUUCAGGAUUUAAAUGACCUUCGUUUUGUGUACGAGGUGGUUACCUGAGAUUUUAUUUGAUUACUCUAUUAGAUCGUGAGCAAAUUAAGACAUAUAUAUGUUGAUCUUGCAGUCGAGAGCAUUUCCUGUCAUAUUGUUGAUUCUCUUACAGAUCCACCACCUCAGAUGGUGCUGACAAGGGUGCAAAGCAAUCUUCCUUGGAUCUUUGGUACCGGGUUUUAAGGAGAACAUUUGGCCUCAUGAAGCCCUCACUGUGGUCAUUGCAGCUGUGGCUAAGGAGGAUACCCGUCAGCGCCAGCUCACUGCUUGCAUAUGUAAUCAAUCUAUAUUUCCAACCUUUUUGUUUAUGGUAAGUAGAACAACGCCUAGAAAGAAUGAAAGGCCGUUUCUAAUUACCUUUGCUGCAUCUAACCUAACUGCCAUGCCUAUGUGACCACUAAAGCAAAUACCAUUGUUUCCUCUGCAGCGUAGUCUAGAUUUAGUUUUAGUGAUUUCUCAACCAUUUUGUUCUUGCUGCAUCUAACCUAACUGCCAUGCUUUAGACUAUGGUAAUCUAUGUGAUACGCAUCCUUUUGUCGUCGCGUAUAUUAAAUGUAAUCAAGGACUUCCUAAUAUUGAUGUAUCCCCUCAGUUGUAUUGGUACUGCUACAUAUUUGUCAUGACACUAGCAAUUAUAUAUAGCAAAUUCAAAGGUGUCUAUAUGAUGCAUCUCUACCUAUGUGCCUUGCUUGUUAAAAACAAUGUAAAUAAGCUACAAGAUAACUAAAGAAGCAUGCAACAUGUGGAAGAAGUGCGUGCUGUAUCAAACAAAAUCCAUGGCCUUGCUGGCAUUAGCCUCGGACCCUGCUGCCUCAAUGUCUGUUUCUAAUCUGAAGCAGGCUAUCAUGGAGAUUCAUGAUGCAGUGGUCGCACUUCAAAACACUACAGCCACAACAUCUUAGUUCCUAGAGGAAAAAGGCAUGUACUCAAAUGAUGAAGUGCCUAAUCCAUUCUACAGUGAGCAUUCUCAUGAAGAUUCAGCUGAUGAUUGUCAUCAAGACAUGGACGACGACUACGGUCACUAUGUCCGAUCCCCAUGAGCAUCAUAUUCAGCCUGCUGAGCUGUCUGAUUGCCAUGUGAAGCUGUAUAUGUAUAGCUUCACCAUUACGACUUGGUUCUGUGGCUGUUGUGUUUAGUCUCCUAUGUUGGCUGUAUAACAUGCGAAGCUCCCUGUUUAUAGCUUCGCCUUACAAUUCUUUUUCAUUUUUGAACUGCGCUAUGGUCAUGUGUAAGUAUGAAAUCCAUGUUGAUGUGUUGAGACAAUGUUAUUUAUCUAUGUUGCAUCUUUGCUUUUGCCCA